rnacentral:lncRNA from 1 species
CUACGAGACCCUAAGAAGCUGAAAAAUAAGGCAGAAAAAGAGGAGUGAGCGCAUCUUUUCGCAAGCGCAUACCCCCUGACUUCAUCCUCUUCUUCUUUGGUUAAAAAUGGCAGCCUAACGCUGCCCCCCUCUUGAAUAACUCAGCCGCAACUACAAAACCACAUCCCUCCCUAAUCGACUCCUCAUCUGCUUCAACCAGGAGCUCACACACUAGCGACCAAACAAGCACAAACCCCCGUUGCCAGCCGCUCCCUCAUCACCGAACUCGACGGCCCUAUUCCAGCAGCAGACCUCAAUGCCAUCUUCCCCAUCCAAAUGACCAUUUAAUCUUCCACCAAUUUUAUUUCAACAGAUCCACACAGAACAUCCAUGAAACAGCUUCAAAAAUCAGUCUGAAAUUAGCGCUGAAACAUCAUCAAAAGUAAGGUUGAUUCCGGCACGAGCUCGAGGUUGCUGAUCGAGUUUCCGGCAAGGCCUAGCUAUUCGUUGAAACACAUAAGCUCGAGAACAGUGUGUUGUCUUAGGAGGUCAAUUUUCUAUCUUUCUUUUACUAUUUUAGUUUCGUGCUACAUCAUCCUUGUUUCUGUUGAAGUCAUUUAAUGGCUUCACUUUGGGUUAAAGAUUUUGAAUCUACAUUGAGAGGUUAGUCAGCUAUGUUUUUAUUCAUUCUAUGCUAUUUAGAUUUCUUUUAGCUUGAUAGAUGACUUUAAAGUGAUAUAAUCUAUUUAAUAAAUCUCAUGUUCGGGAUUUGAACCUUUAUUAAACUUAAUUACUGAAGAUGCCCACAUCAGGUUGUCAAGGUCUUAUGAUCUCAAUUAAUGUAGUCAGUCAUCUGCCAGCUAGAACUUAGGCCAUGUGGUUCAAAGUGUAAAAAGUUGUAAGUUUGGGUUAUUCAAUGGUCAUGGGCCGUGGAGCGUGACGUGAUUUUUUGAAAAAUUGGCAUACUGUAAGGAGGUGAUUAACAAUAUUAAUUGGACUAGUUAUGUUAUAAAUGAAUUGUUGAAGCAUUCUUACUUAAAAAUAUGCAAAGGGGAAUGCAAUCUGUUGCAAGAUAAUAAAUUAGAAAUGCUUAUUUGAGGUUAAUGAAAUACAAACUACUGCUAUAAGCAUAGGAGGAUAUCUUCUCCAUUGUUUGGUUAUGUUCCUUGGGUUAAUUUGAAUAGACGUUGAAUUAGUAUUUGUUAAGCCUAUUUCCUAAAGCCGUUAAGUUCUAUUCUUUGUUACUCUAAUCAUGUUGGUCUUACCUCAGCGAAUCCUUUGCUGCUAUAAUCGCUCGUUUGGUUAAGUGGAAUUAGAAAAUGUUAUUAAUCAAGUUUCGUCUAUUAGGUGCGAUUAAUAAAUCAUCGGGACUAAGGAUACGGUUCCCCUAGUGUAAUUGUGAUACUUAAUCCCUAAUUAAUUUUAAACAUAUAUAUUCGUAGUUCUUAGUUGAAUAUUUUACCUUUAAUAAAUUGAGGCGUGCCAUGCUAAAUAAAACCCCUAAACUCAUGGCCCUCACUUAAUUGAUUUUAACUUUUUAGAAAAUGAGGUGUGCCAUUAGUUGAAUUUUCUAUGGCCCUCUCAAACUUGAAAGUGCAUAGUUGCUUUCGGCGCGCUAUUAAAAAAUUACCCUCCUAACCUCAGAUGUGUAUUUCAUGUGACCCAAAUCCAAAUCUCAACAACGUUAAAUAAAAUAUUAUCUCGGACUGCGGAUGCAUUUCAUGUGGCGUGGUCCAAAGACGCGUUUUAGAUGAUGUUGAAAUCUUCCUAAAAUAAGUAAAAGCGGUUUAAUAAGUUAAAAUUAUAACAUAGGCUAAAACAUGUAGGUCAAUUAUGAUAGUUUAAGCGACUAUGCUAGAACCACGGAAUCCGGGGGUGCCUAACACCUUCUCUCGGGUUAACAUAAUUCCUUAUUCAGAAUAUUUGGUUCACAGACUUCAAAAGGAAAGUCGAAUUUUCCUCGAUUUGAGAUUUAAAAUAAACCAGUGCCUUGGGAAACCAAUAAAAUAUUCCAAGUGGCUAUUCUGAAUAAAAAAUGGAUAAAUAAUCUCAUUUCGAAUAAUAACACUUAAAGUGGAAAAACUCCCUUUAUAUGCCUUUUGGGUUGUAUAAAAAGGAGGUGUGACAGCUGUAGCGACUCCGGUGAGGAUCCUAACCCAAAACUUCAACUUAGGGUCCAUGAAUUCGAGCUUAGAAUAGCUGUUAUAAUUGACUUUAUUUAUUAUCUGAUUUUUGUACAUGUUUGAGCCUAAUAUGCUAAAUGCUACUUUUACCGCUUUGAUAUUUUGUGAACUGUAUAUAAACUGCUACGAAACCCUUCUUCUCUCUAGGUCUUCUCUAAAACAAAUGUAGCACAUAUUGCAGAAUAUGCUAAAUGCUACUUUUACCGCUUUGAUAUUUUGUGAACUGUAUAUAAACUGCUACGAAACCCUUCUUCUCUCUGAGUCUUCUAAAUCAUCCGGGAAGUGUGCACUUCGUGUAACUUCUUUUAUGUUAGAGUCUUAUCCCAAAUUUUAGAACGAGGUUCAGACAAGUUGCAAAGCCGGUGAAGCUUCUGUAUCCCGAUAUGCCCCCACCCACCAGCUCAGCUGUCCGCUCGGGUAAGCCAGGUCUAGAAUAAAAAACCCAAAAUUUUUAAACCUAGUAUAAUAAAGUUUUAUGUCUGAUCCCUAGUAGGAACGUUUGUUCGCAUCAUGUGCAUUUGACUUUAGAGACUCAACACAGGGGUUGGGUCUGUCUAGGACAAGUGUAACCGAAAUAAAAAGACAAUCCUGAUGCAUCUACUUGCUACUUGUGCAUUUAUUUGUUUCGGCUUGCAUGUUGACCGAUCUCUAGAAUAAGUAAAGAAAAUAAAAAAAUGAUAAACAAAAUAAAAAUGAGGUAGAUAUUUAGAAAAUUCUAAAACUCUGCUGAAAUUUUGAAAAAAGAAAAUUCAUUUUAAAAUGAGCCAAAAUUUUCAUGUUCUGUGUUCUGUCAAAUCUUGCGAACUGCGCGAGUCUAAUUCUCAUCGGAUGUGAGAUACGUAAGUAAACUUCAUUGGUUUCCCACUAUUUUCAAAAAAAUUCAAAAAUAUUUUCCUUUCUUCCCUCUUUAGAAAGUCAUUUUUUAGACCCUAAAGUUUUAAAAAAAAUAUAAAAAUAUUUUCUUCUAAUUUUUCUCAAAAUCCAAAAAAGCAUUUUCAUUCUUAUUUCGAAAACUGAAAAGAGAAUUUGAAAUUCAAAAAAUAUUUUCUUUUUUCUUUAGAAGUAUUUUUUUUUUAUGAAAUUAAAAAAAGUCCAAAAAUUCAAAAAUAUUAUCUUUCUUCUUUUGAAGUUUUUCUUUCGAAAAUAAAAAAAGAAAUUGAAAUCCAAAAAAAAUUCUUUCUUCUUUAUAAGUGUUUCUUCGGAAAUUAAAAAAAUCAGAAUAAAAAAAGAGUUAGUUUAUUUACUUUAUUCAUAAUCUUCCCGAACUACACAAGAUCUGAUUCAUAUUCUCACAUGAUACGUAGGCAACCCACAUUAGGUUCGAUCACCAUUAAAAAGAAAUAAAAAAAUUUAUAAAAAAUGAAAAAAUGCUGAUAAUAAUAUGGAUCGACUGAGUCCAUUCGAACAUGUUUUGUGUUGAAUUGUGAAGUUUAGGUGGUCGGUCUGUGGUAAGUUGGUGAUAAGUAUGAUUUUAAAGUAUUUUAUGCCCCUACUUGCCUAUGCUUUGAGUAUAAAUUGCUACAAAAUAGUCCCAAAAUGCUCACAAGUUGUGCUUGAUUGCAGGUUUGAGUAACAAAGGGACGAAAUGUCAAGGAUCAGCUCAAAAUGGAGAGAAACUUGCUCAACUAUCAAAGACCAAGUGAAGUGAACAAAAUAGAGAACCUAGUGCGGACCGCACAAAAGUGCACGUGGCCGCCCUAGCAGGUUCAGAGAUGGGCAUAUUCAGAACAUUGACAACGCGAUCGCCGUCAGAUCCGUGCGGCCCUCGUUCGUCUUACGCGGCCAUGCUACUUAUUCAUGCAGCCCGCAUCAAGAGAUUCAGAGAGAUAUCAUUUUGGUCAAAAUAAAGCCACGCGGCCCGCGAUCUGUAUUACGCAGCCCGCGCUAGAGCCCUCCGCGGCUGCACUGCCCUUUUACGCGUCCGCGGUCCUCAACUUCAGAGAAGCUAAUAUCAUCAGUCCAAGAGCUAGCGCGGUCGCGGUCCUUUUUACGCGGUCUGCACUGUCCCCACAGGGGUAUUUUUGUUCGAUUUUUCUAGCGUAGUAUAAAUAGAACAUUUUAUCAUUUUAGAGCAGUUUUUGUUUUUCUGAAUGCAGUUGUGCACCUGGGAACGAGAUUGUAGCCAUUUUUGGUACUUUUACUCUUUAUUAUUGUAG